rnacentral:rRNA from 1 species
UACGUAGGGGGCAAGCGUUGUCCGGAAUCAUUGGGCGUAAAGCGCGUGUAGGCGGCUUGGUAAGUCUGCUCUGAAAGCCCGGGGCUCAACCCCGGGAGGCGGGUGGAUACUGUCAAGCUCGAGUCCGGAAGAGGAGUGUGGAAUUCCAGGUGUAGCGGUGAAAUGCGUAGAUAUCUGGAGGAACACCGGUGGCGAAGGCGGCAUUCUGGACCGAUAUUGACGCUGAGGAGCGAAAGCCAGGGGAGCAAACGGG